AUUGAACGCUGGCGGCGUGCUUAACACAUGCAAGUCGAUCGGUAACAGGUGUAGCAAUACAUGCUGACGAGAGGCGGACGGGUGAGUAAUGCUUGGGAAUCUGCCUAUUAGUGGGGGACAACCCGGGGAAACUCGGGCUAAUACCGCAUACGCUCUACGGAGGAAAGCCGGGGACCGCAAGGCCUGGCGCUAAUAGAUGAGCCCAAGUCGGAUUAGCUAGUUGGUAGGGAACGGCCUACCAAGGCGACAAUCCGUAGCUGGUCUGAGAGGACGACCAGCCACACCGGAACUGAGACACGGUCCGGACUCCUACGGGAGGCAGCAGUGGGGAAUAUUGGACAAUGGGGGCAACCCUGAUCCAGCGACGCCGCGUGGGUGAAGAAGGCCUGCGGGUUGUAAAGCCCUUUCGGUGGGGAAGAAAAGUCUCGACCUAAUACGUCGGGACCUUGACGU
rnacentral:rRNA from 1 species